ACGGGAGACACACGGCGGGUGCUAACGUCCGUCGUGAAGAGGGAAACAACCCAGACCGCCAGCUAAGGUCCCAAAGUCAUGGUUAAGUGGGAAACGAUGUGGGAAGGCCCAGACAGCCAGGAUGUUGGCUUAGAAGCAGCCAUCAUUUAAAGAAAGCGUAAUAGCUCACUGGUCGAGUCGGCCUGCGCGGAAGAUGUAACGGGGCUAAACCAUGCACCGAAGCUGCGGCAGCGACGCUUAUGCGUUGUUGGGUAGGGGAGCGUUCUGUAAGCCUGUGAAGGUGUACUGUGAGG
rnacentral:rRNA from 1 species